rnacentral:rRNA from 1 species
AAAACGACUCUCGGCAACGGA